rnacentral:rRNA from 1 species
GACGAACGCUGGCGGCGUGCCUAAUACAUGCAAGUCGAACGAGAGCGACCGGUGCUGGAACUGGGCAAUCGAGUGGCGAACGGGUGAGUCACCCGAGUGUACCCUGCCCAUCGGAGGGAGAUAACAUCCGGAAAGGGAUUCUAACACCGCAUCGGCCUUCGAACCGCGGGGUUUGCAGGGGAAAAGAGGCGCGAGCUUCUGGUGGUGGAUGUACCUGCGUUGCAUUAGCUAGUUGGUGCGGUAACGGCUCACCAAGGCCGUGAUGCAUAGCCGACCUGAGAGGAUGAUCGGCCACAUUGGGACUGAGACACGGCCCAAACUCCUACGGGAGGCAGCAGUAGGGAAUAUUAGGCAAUGGACGCAAGCCUGACGCAGCAACGCCGCGUGAGUGAAGAAGGUGUUCGGAUCGUAAAGCUCUGUUGUUAGGGAAGAACAAGUGUUAGCGUAACUGUUGGGGCCUUGACGGUACCUAAAGAGAAAGCAACGGCUAACUACGUG